rnacentral:rRNA from 1 species
GGGGAAUCUUCCGCAAUGGACGAAAGUCUGACGGAGCAACGCCGCGUGAGUGAAGACGGUUUUCGGAUUGUAAAGCUCUGUCUUCCGGGACGAACGUCAUCUAUGUGAAUAAUGUAGAUGAAUGACGGUACCGGAAGAGGAAGCCAAGGCUAGCUACGUGCCAGCAGCCGCGGUAAUACGUAGGUGGCGAGCGUUGUCCGGAAUUAUUGGGCGUAAAGCGCGCGCAGGCGGGAAUCUAAGUCUGUCUUAAAAGUGCAGGGCUUAACCCUGUGAUGGGACAGAAACUGGAUUUCUUGAGUGCAGGAGAGGACAGUGGAAUUCCCAGUGUAGCGGUGAAAUGCGUAGAUAUUGGGAGGAACACCAGUGGCGAAGGCGACUGUCUGGACGGUGUCUGACGCUGAGGCGCGAAAGCCAGGGAAGUGAACG